rnacentral:rRNA from 1 species
UACGUAGGGGGCAAGCGUUGUCCGGAUUUAUUGGGCGUAAAGAGCGUGUAGGCGGCCAGACAGGUCCGUUGUGAAAACUCGAGGCUCAACCUCGAGACGCCGAUGGAAACCAUCUGGCUAGAGUCCGGAAGAGGAGAAUGGAAUUCCCGGUGUGAGCGGUGAAAUGCGCAGAUAUCGGGAAGAACACCCGUGGCGAAGGCGGUUCUCUGGGACGGUACUGACGCUGAGACGCGAAAGCGUGGGGAGCGAACAGG